UUUCCGUUGCUCACCAACAACCGCAAAGAGCACAUAAUAUGUAGCUCGAACGAGUUUCUGUGAAUUGUGUGCGCUAUAUAAACGUUGCUCAUUCGAAUCUCGUGCUUCAGUGCCACAAUAGUGGAUAUCACAUUUAGUAGUUUGUUAAAAGCAAAGACAUAAAUUCAUACACGCAGACAAAAUAAGAAAAGACCUCGUUUACAAUUUA